UACGUAGGGGGCAAGCGUUGUCCGGAAUCAUUGGGCGUAAAGCGCGCGUAGGCGGCCCUGUAAGUCCGUUGUGAAAGUCAAAGGCUCAACCUUUGAAAGCCGAUGGAUACUGCAGGGCUAGAGUCCGGAAGAGGCGAGUGGAAUCCUGGUGUAGCGGCGGAAUGCGCAGAUAUCAGGAGGAACACCUGUGGUGUAGACGGCUUUCUGGACCAUAACUGACGCUGAGACACGAAAGCGUGGGUAGCAAACAGG
rnacentral:rRNA from 1 species